CUCCAGAUGUUGCUGAACUACAACUCCCUAAUUCUAUGAAGGCUGGGAAUCAUGGGAGUUGUAGUUCAGCAACAUCUAGAG